GACAGAGGGUGCAAGCGUUGUUCGGAAUUACUGGGCGUAAAGCGCGCGCAGGCGGCUCUUUAAGUCUCGUGGUCAAAUGCCGGGGCUCAACCCCGAGCGUGCCGGGGAUACUGGAGGGCUGGAGACAGGUAGAGGCAAGCGGAAUUCCGGAUGUAGCGGUGGAAUGCGUAGAGAUCCGGAAGAACACCGGAGGCGAAGGCGGCUUGCUGGACCUGGUCUGACGCUGAGGCGCGAAAGCGUGGGGAGCGAACAGG
rnacentral:rRNA from 1 species